rnacentral:rRNA from 1 species
GACGAACGCUGGCGGCGUGCUUAACACAUGCAAGUCGAACGGAAAGGCCUGCUUUCCCUUGUGGAUUGCGGGUACUCGAGUGGCGAACGGGUGAGUAACACGUGAGUGAUCUGCCCCCAACUUGGGUAUAAGCCUGGGAAACUGGGUCUAAUUCCCGAUAGGACUGCAGGGUGGUGCCUGUGGUGGAAAACGAUUUUCUAGUGGUUGGGAUGAGCUCGCGGCCUAUCAGCUUGUUGGUGGGGUAAUGGCCUACCAAGGCGGCGACGGGUAGCCGGCCUGAGAGGGUGGACGGCCACAUUGGGACUGGGAUACGGCCCAGACUCCUACGGGAGGCAGCAGUGGGGAAUAUUGCACAAUGGGCGGAGGCCUGAUGCAGCGACGCCGCGUGGGGGAUGACGGCCUUCGGGUGGUAAACUCCUUUCGACCGCGAGGAAGCCACCUGGAUGGAAGGGUGGUGACGGUAGUGGUAGAAGAAGCACCGGCUAACUACGUG